CUGAAAGUAAUAUUAUUCAGGAAAUAUGUUUGUUUUGAUUCCAACCACACUUCAGACCCGUCAGCUUCCUCCAGGAAUCCAGGGGAUCAAGCCUAAGGGGAGUCAACCGAACUUGGAGAUUAUGGAUCGAGAAUCCCAAGAUCCAGAUUCAGAUCCAGAUUCAAGAUCCCUUAUAUCUCGCCAUCCAGCUGGGGAUAGUAUACCUGUGAUGUAUGAGCAGGGUGAGACUGGUUUCCUCUGGUCCUGGAAUUUCAUGAUCUCGAAGAAAUGGAAGAAUAUGUCUGUUACUGGAGCUACCGGAGAUAUUGGAUUCAUGGACAAAGUUCUUCUUGAUUUCAGAAAAUUCUGCAGCAAUGAUGAUGGUAGACUUGAGCAGUUUUGGGAACAGUGUCUAGACUCUCAACAUCUUCAAGAUCUUCAACCAACUUAAAGAGAAUUAAACCUGACUUCAGGGACAGGUGAAGAUGGAAAACUGGAGAAAAGAAAUGAUUUAAUGAUGAUUGAAGAUUGUUAGAGCAGAAGAAGGCUUUUCCUUCCAGCUUUUUGAAAAAAUAUAUUUUCUUAUUUUAAAUACUA
rnacentral:misc_RNA from 1 species